AUGGCUUAUGUGAGCAACAGAUUGCUGCCCAGGAUAUUGCUGUCUUCUGGAGAAACAACAUAUCUCAGCUUGCUGGAGCUACUACCAGGUCAUGCAACACCAGGCAAGUUCAAAUAUAAAAGCAAACUUAAGAAAGCAAAUUGAUUGUAUAGCAACAAAGAAUUAAGCUCUUGAUUAC
rnacentral:lncRNA from 1 species